UUCAUGAUAACCUGAUCUUAGAUGAAACUUAGAGAAAACCAUUGCAUUACCUAAUUCUUCAAACAACUCUUCAACUAAGGGAAUUGGGUAAGUGUUUUUAAUCGUUGCCUCCUUUAGUUAUCUGUAAUUAAUACAAAAGCUCCAUGAUUCAUCUUUUUUAAGUACCACCGGUGGCAGUGGCGGAGCUUGGCCAAAAGUUUCGAGGGGGCGUAAAGUGAUGGGACCCAAAUUAUUUUUUCCUAUCGUUAUGUUUUAGGUCGGGUCGGCUAUCGAUUCGGGCCAGGUCAAAUAAUAAUAGUUCCAAAUAAAACUAAAAAAAUUCAUUCAUUCAAAGGACCCGUUCUUACACAUAAAAACUUGCGAUUAGGUUUAUUGUGUGGUGGGUAAUCUAGGGUUAAACAAAUAAGAGUUAAAAUAUAUUUACAAAACUACACAUCACUUAUAUACAAAGUGGUAACAAACUUUACUUUAAUUUAUAUAUUGUAUAAAUAUUUAGGAAAAAUAAUUGGGGGGAGGCGAUCCUAUAUUAUUUUUAAAAUUUCCGGACGAAAAAUCGUAACCUAUAUAUACACUUCUAACCGAAACAUUGGGGUGGGCGGGUGCACCGCCGAACACCAACUAACCUUCGCCCUGACCGGUGCAACAAAGGGACUCGAACUACCCCUUGGCCCUUACCACCUCUGUAUCUAUCAAUUCCUUAGCCAAUUGUUCAAUCACAUUCUUCUGAGUUGACUAAUACCUAUAAGGUUCAAAUUCACUAAUUCAUCCUUAAUAUUCUUAAAGCCCGAUAUCUUUACAAUCAAGUCCAUGUAUAUUUCAGACUAUUACAAUUAGCCCUAAGACUUAUUACAACAUAUUACAACAUUACCAAGUAGCCGUCGACCAAGGUUGCUUUUAUCCUUCUCAUUCAUCUCACCAUGCCGCCGGAAGUUAACAAGAACAUGUUAAGAAGUCUAUAUCGAAUGUUCACAAGUCUAUAGCGUGACGGUUGCUUGUUGUUCGUCAGACUUUAAUCGUGGAAGGACGAAAUUUCUGGAUCAUUUAAACAGAAUCAUAGUUAUUUGUCGAAGGAGCCUGUGUAGGUCGUCAAAGAAAUUGCUAAUUGUAUGGCUCAAGUUAAUUAGCAUACAUUUAAAUAUGAACGGUUUGAAAGCUCAUAUAUACUUUGUGCCAAUACUAGUUUAUGCUGCUCCGCCCGUGUUGCGGAGCGCUAAACCGAA